rnacentral:rRNA from 1 species
AUUGAACGCUGGCGGCAGGCCUAACACAUGCAAGUCGAACGAGUGGCGGACGGGUGAGUAAUGUCUGGGAAACUGCCUGAUGGAGGGGGAUAACUACUGGCAACGGUAGCUAAUACCGCAUACCAUCAGAUGUGCCCAUGUGGGAUUAGCUUGUUGUUGGGGUAACGGCUCACCAAGGCGACGAUCCCUAGCUGGUCUGAGAGGAUGACCGCCCACACUUGAACUGAGACACGGUCCAGACUCCUACGGGAGGCAGCAGUGGUGAAUAUUGCACAAUGGGCGCAAGCCUGAUGCAGCCAUGCCGCGUGUAUGAAUAAGGCCUUCGGGUUGUAAUGUACUUUCAGCGGGGAGGCGUUACCCGCAGAAGAAGCACCGGCUAACUACGUGCCAGCAGCCGCGGUAAUAC